rnacentral:lncRNA from 1 species
AUGAAAACAAUUAAAAAAGAAAAGAUAAAGAUGAAAGGUUGUGGGUUGCCUUCCACGUAGCGCUUUGUUUAAUGUCGAGAGUUCGACAUCAAUUUGGAACGGUGCUAAUCUUUCAAAAGAGAGGGAAGCUCUUCUAAUUUGUAGCUUGUGUAGAAAUCCAUAUUCUCUACAUUGUGGUAGUGCUUAAGUCGCUGCCCAUUUCCAACGAAUGGUUCAUUGGUUUUACCUUUUAUUUC